UCGAUCAUACAGUAUUAUUAUACACAUAAAUAGUAAUAUUAUACACAUAAACAUCCCUUGAUAAAGAUCAACAUUUUGUAGAGCAAUAACAGCAUCAAAUAAUGGAAAUAAUGGACCCUAUUGCUCAAAUCAAAAACAAAAUCUCAGCAUUACCAAUUUAUUGGUUAUAUCAAUAAAAGAAAUUAUUGAGUUUAUGAGUCUAGAUCCUACAAGCAAGCAGAUCUAUCACAUAAUUUUAAAUGAAGAUUUAUCUAUUAUAGUAAUUUAUUCUAAUAACGAAAAAAAAACUUUGGAUCAAAAAAUAUUUUCUUCUGAUGAGGUUUAUGAAUAUUAAAGUCUGUUGGGAAGUUUGGCCAUUAUGUGUUGGUAUACAAUUUAUUUAUGGUGUUACAGUAGUUAAACCAUCCGAGUACGAAACAUGUUUAAAAUCCACUAUUCUUAAUGAAUGGUAACUACCAACUUGAGAGGAAGCUAAGAGAAAGGUUGUAUUGGGUGGACUACAAGGAAAAGGGACAUAUACAUGAGGAUCUGGAAGGGCUAUAACAUUACGUCUCAAGCCAUGGGACAA